GUGCAUAUGUGGCAGAUGAGACUCCAUGAUCAUGACAUAGCUCUCCCAGGGUGAGGCUCAUCCAUUCACUUCUGAUGUUUUGAUCCUUGUGUUUUCCUCAAAAAGAAGAAACUCAGCUGCACAGUUUGUGGUAGUAGAGGCAUGUGUUUACAUUUUCUUCUA
rnacentral:snRNA from 1 species